AUGGGUCGAAAAAUCCCAGGAAAAAAGCACAGAGGUGUGAAAGAUCCUUUUAAACAACAGGCAAAACGUCAGGCAGAGUUAGAAACAAAGAUAAAUGCACCGCCAAAAGAUGUGAACGAACAAGCUAUACCGAAAAGUUUAGAAAAAAUAAUAGAAUUAAAAGAGGCAGUGAAAUUGGGAAAAAUAGGUAAAAUAAAAAAGAAGAAGAAGAAGAAGAAAAAUAAUCUUAUAUCCGUUGGUAAACAAGAAUCUAAGCCUUUACAUCCAAAGGCAAGACCAGAGAAAGUUGUUCCUAUAUUUCAACAAAGGCCUGGGGAAACUGAACAACGAUUUUUACAUAGAGUUAAUCGAGAUACGCAAGUUUUCAUUAAUGAAUUUACUUUUGAGAAAAAAUAUGAUGUUCAAGUUAAUCGAAAUCCAGAAACAGGAAAAAUUGAAGGAGUUUCAAAAUGUGAACAAACUGAAUUAGACAAAAUUGAAAUGUUGAAGUCGAAUCAUAAAAAUAUUAAAAGAAAAAAAAAAAACAGUGAUAUCAAUAAGGUCAAAAUGACUAAAACUGAAAAGAAGAAGGAGAAAUUGAAAUUGAAGAAAGAGAAACAAAUGGAAGAAAAAUUAGACGAAUUUGAUAAUUUUAAAGAUCAAGUCGAAUUUGGAGAAGUGGUUCAUGAACCACCUCAAUUAAAAAUCAAACCAAAAAAUGCUAAUGCUAUAAAUACCUCUAAACCUGGUAAAAAGAAUCUUCUUCUUUAUUCAAUGCUCAAGAAGAAUGAAAAUUCAAAGUUGGAUGCUAAGAAGAGAACGACUAUAGAUAGAUCAGGGAAACGUAAAAAAUUACCACUUGGAGAAAGGAGACAAUUAGAAAAACAACAGAAUGAUGUUAUAGCGGCAUACAGAAUAUUGAAAGCACAAAAAUCUGCUGGUAUUAAUUAGGGGAAUAAUGUUGAAAAGAUGGAAUCGCACGUUGAAAUGCACGAAUUUGGGCGCAGUGGAUGUUGAAACGUCUGCAGGGAAUCUUGAUCGAUGUUUGGUAUGCAGACUAGUUCGAGCAAACAUUAAAAUUUCGUCGAACCGGUCAAAAAUUUGGCCGCUUAGGGCUGUUUGCCUGGCAGAUCAGCAUAAGAAUCUGUCGUUCGUGCAUCCUCCUCUCCACCUUUCCUCCCCCUUCCCCUAUAUCGUACCCUCUGAAAAGGUGCCUAAAUGCUGAUUCAUAAUUUAUGGGGUUGGCGUAGCCUGUUUGAAUAAUGAUAUCCUUUCUAUGAAUCUAGAUUAGAGUCGUUAAAUUCUGAUUUUCUGGAUGGAAAAAUAUUUUCCCAUCCCUCUGCUAAAUCGGUCUAUUUCAAAAUUUCCCCGCUCCUUUAACUUGCGUCUUUUCUCGAAAAAACAAUUUUAUCGAACUCUGAAAACCGGAACUUUUACUCGCGAAAAAUCGUAUUUUCUUUUUUUCAAAACCCUUUCCUCUCGACGAUCAUCGAUCGAAUCGAAUCGAAUCGAAUUAUCGUCGCUUUACUUCUCACGCACAUCUCUCGAAAAUAACAUCCGACCCGAGGAUAUUCUCGAGAGUAUUCUGGAAUCGAACAAUGGAGCGAAAAAGUAAAGAGGGAGAAGUAGAGGAAGGGAAGAGAUGAAGACAAAAGGCGAGAGGUGUCUCGAUCGCUUAAUAACCGGCUGGUAAUUGAAUUUGCAACAGUGCGGGGGCCACGAUCUUUCCUUUGUGCGGCCGAUGCGCUCUUAUGGCGCGGGACGAUUGCUCGGCCGGAUUGUUCCACAAAAUUCGGUGAAGAUCGGACAGAAGCACGAGGGAGGACGCGGAAUACGAAGAUCGGACGAAGAUCCAAGAAGUCUGUCCACCUUCGUCGUUGCAGCGAUCUACGUGAGCGGCCACGUGACUGGUGCGAGAACAGAUGGAAGCGAAGGGGGAGAGAAAAAGUAAUUGCAAAGUGGCGAUGAUUCCCUACUAACAGAGUGUGGAGAAUUAACCGAGUUGUUGAAGUGAGAGCCGCAUUAACGUGUUAUUAACGUCAUGUAACCGACAUCGCGAAAGUAAGAAGCAUGGAGAAGGUAUGCAGGCCUGCCUGGAGUAAUCCUCGACCCACCAAGGAGCGCGGCGCGGUGGAAUCGAAGGGCUGACGAAGGGGCGUCCAGACAGUCGACUUCUUCCAGACGCAAGAUCGAAGAGGAUCUUGUUCGAGGGUGAUAAAAAGGCGAGCUCGUCGCAUUCGGUGGACGUU